UGUAUAUAAUACGUACGGAGCGUAGACAAGCCCAUAACUACAGUUCUAGCUGCUGCAAAAACUGAUAUUUGUGAGAUAUCUUGUGACGAGAUGUAUCUCAGAGUAGUGUUAGUGUCCGCAAUGCUGGUGGUCACGUACAUCGCUGGCACGGGCGCAACUGACGUGGCUCCCAAACACCCUCCUAGAUGCUACUGGAUCUGUCAAACUCACCCUGUUGGGGACCCGCUGGUCUGUGACCGCUGCUACAGCCAGGUGGGCACCUGUGUGUCCUUCGGCUACCCGAAAUGCUGGGUGUAUGGACGCAAUUGCGCCAGAAGCAACUGGUACGCCAUCAAGUGCUGCCGUCGUCACUAUUGUAGUUAAAAAAGUACUGUUGGCUUGACCACGACCGUGUAGAGGUCGCUACAUAUUGCCUUUUAAACGUUAACGUGUAUUGAUUUGAUGAUUACUGCUUAGGCUGAAACUAUGGCAAUUAAAGGCCUUGAAAAUAGUAUCAAUACAUUUCAGCCGUUUUCAAAGAAACAAGACAAAGAAUUUUUGAUUCAUUUAUAACUCGUGCUAUAGACAAUAAAAUUUCGAUUAUUUCUGGUUUAUAUC